AAUAGAUACCCUGGUAGUCCACGCCGUAAACGAUGAGUGCUAAGUGUUAGAGGGUUUCCGCCCUUUAGUGCUGCAGCUAACGCAUUAAGCACUCCGCCUGGGGGAGUACGGUCGCAAGACUGAAACUCAAAGGAAUUGACGGGGGCCCGCACAAGCGGUGGAGCAUGUGGUUUAAUUCGAAGCAACGCGAAGAACCUUACCAGGUCUUGACAUCCCACUGACCGGUAUAGAGAUAUACCUUUCCCUUCGGGGACAGUGGUGACAGGUGGUGCAUGGUUGUCGUCAGCUCGUGUCGUGAGAUGUUGGGUUAAGUCCCGCAACGAGCGCAACCCUUGAUCUUAGUUGCCAGCAUUUAGUUGGGCACUCUAAGGUGACUGCCGGUGACAAACCGGAGGAAGGUGGGGAUGACGUCAAAUCAUCAUGCCCCUUAUGACCUGGGCUACACACGUGCUACAAUGGAUGGUACAAAGGGCUGCAAGACUGCGAAGUCAAGCCAAUCCCAUAAAACCAUUCUCAGUUCGGAUUGCAGG
rnacentral:rRNA from 1 species